rnacentral:lncRNA from 1 species
UAUGUGCAGCUGGCAAAUGUAUUUGCAGCUGAGGAAAAUUGGGCAGAGAUGCGCAAGAUAAGAGAGAAAAUGAGAGGGAAGGAAACCAAGAAGCUUGCUGGCUGCAGUUGGGUGUAUCUUGAGAAUGGAAUUCAUGCAUUUACCUCUGGUGACACAUCGCAUUCAAAAGCAGAGGCUAUCUAUUCGAUCUUGGAGUUCCUAUCUGCAGAUUUACGUGUGCUACCCAAUUCAAGUGUUGGAAAGAUUACAACUUUAACAUUGACAUGAGGGGACAGAUGAAUUCAAAUGCUUGGUACAGGAAGGUCUGUGGCUGCUUUCAAGAGCAUAUAUAUUUAAAAGAGGAUGAGGUACGGAAACUUGGACUAGAUUCAAUUUGAAUUAGACUUUGCCCCUCUCUGUGUCAUGACGUGAUUGAUAUUUCUCUUUACUAGAUAAUAGGUGUUCAUUAUUCUGAUUAAUACACAGCAACGAAUUCAACUGUAGAAUGGUGGGGGCUGUUGCCCUCAUCUAAAUACUAUUAAAACUAGCUGGUAGCCCACACAUUGUACAGGUUUCUGUGGCUCUGCUAUGCAUUUAAGUUCAUUAGGAUGAGCAUGUAAUAAGGUGGCAUAUAUACAUUCAAUAUAUUAUUUCUGAAGAAGAGAUGAGCGAAUGGACAUUAACUUUUUAAUCCUUGUAUGUUAUAAGAAAGCAAAACAAAUAAUGUCAUUGGAAAAGUUUUUCAUGAUAUUAUAAGAGUAAGUACAUUCAAAAGAAAAUAGAUGAUGAAAUUUUACUUUGCUGCAUUGACAUGAAUAUCUGUUGGGAAAGAAAUGCAUGAACUGCUUUUCAAUUUACAAUCAUACAUCGUUUAUGAAAGAUAAUAGUACAAACAUAUUAGAACAGGAUGACGAUAGGCCUGCAGUUUUGCUUAUCAGCCGCAAACAUUCUUGCAGACAAUACUCAAACUCAACACUAAAUCAAUCGUGUUUCAAGGGUCGAUGGUAAAAGAUAUAUAUUUUGAAGAAGGAAUUGCACUCAUUGGUGUACCACACACUGGACGGUGGAGAUAAAAAACGACUGUGAUGGAUAAGAAGUACUGCCAGAUGAAGCAGUGGUAAAGCUUGUUCAUGUCAAAGCCUUCAGGCUAACAGAGGUUUUGCUCAAUUAGUGGAAUUUAUUUCAAAUAGGAUGAGCUGAAGAUAACUACUAGAGGAUGAAGACAUGUAUAUAGUUCCACAAUCUGGUUUGGAUAAAAGCCAUUUUAAUCUUAUUCAUAUGUUUUCUGACUAUUCAUAUUCUCUUCAUCAAUUACGCUUGUCAUGUCUGAUGCAUGAACACCCACAUUCAACUUUUGCAAACACUCUGUCUUUCCUUAUUUUGUUUCUCUCAACUCUCCAUGUUUGUCAUUGAUCUGCCAUAUGUCAUGCCUCUCUAUCUCUCUCACAAAUAGUAUUAGUCUUUCUAAAAAUCUGAUGUGCCAUGUUAGAGGAUGAAGACGUUGUAUAUAGUUCCACGACCUGGUUUGGAUAAAAGCCAUUUUAAUCUUAUUCAUAUGUUUUCUGACUAUUCGUAUUCUCUUCAUCAAUUACGCCUGUCAUGUCUGAUGCAUGUACACCCACAUUCAACUUUUGCAAACCUCUAGCUUUCCUUAUUUUGUUACUCUUGAACUCUCCAUGUGAGUCAAUGAUCUGCCAUAUGUCAUGCCUCUCUAUCUCUCUCACAAAUAGUAUUAGUCUCUCUAAAAAUCUGAUGUGGCAUCAAUGGAGAGUUUCUGAAAAAGCUGAUGUUGAACUACAACAAGAUUAGUUUGCUCAAGAGCUGCAUAUGUAUAGUUCAAUUUGUUGAAAGAUUUUGAUCAUUGCCACCAUUAAAUCACCCUAGCCUACUUAAUGAAGUGGGUUCAUUAUCUUCUAUUUUCCUGAUAAAUCAACCUAGUAUAAUGAAAACAUAAUUGCAGCAGGUUACAACGCAGUAAACUAAUCCUUCUAAAUUAUUAGUUUUUAAUGUUUUUUUUUUGUCUUUAGGCAUAAAUCAGUAUGCCAUUUAUUGAAAUAGAUAAAUUUAGACAAUUUAUGAUCAGUAAUUGGAUUUGCCACUUUUGGGGAAAAAAAAAGGGUUUACCUUCACUCUGUACACUGCAUCAUAUUAUUGACAUAGAAAAACUUCUCAGAUGUCAUAAAAGAGGAGAGAAAAAAUAUUUGUUUGCAGAAAUGUGCUGGGAAACUUGUUUGUUGCUACUUAUAUGGACACUUCUUAUGUUUGGUUAUUCUCUGACUGCCAGGUUGGAGCGCCUUCUUCAGAACUAUCUGACAGGUUAACUUGUCGAAAUCUACUCGUCAUAUUUCCGGUGAACCCUGAUAUCAUAAAGCAAGGCAGGAGUCUCAAUUGAAUGCUCAAUCUGCUGAAAAUGGAAGAACCAGGAAAGAAGAUCCAUUUUGUGUUAGAAGACUGAUAGCCUGCAUCUGGGACUUUCCUGGACUGUCCACAGUUUGCCAAGCAAGCCACCAUAAUCUCCAAGGACUUCCUGCAUACAUGAUGGCAAAGAUAUUCAAGAAGUCACUGUCUAGGACGAGCUUGUAUUGAAUAAAGGNNNNNNNNNNNNNNNNNNNNNNNNNNNNNNNNNNNNNNNNNNNNNNNNNNNNNNNNNNNNNNNNNNNNNNNNNNNNNNNNNNNNNNNNNNNNNNNNNNNNAGCUUGCUGGCUGCAGUUGGGUGUAUCUUGAGAAUGGAAUUCAUGCAUUUACCUCUGGUGACACAUCGCAUUCAAAAGCAGAGGCUAUCUAUUCGAUCUUGGAGUUCCUAUCUGCAGAUUUACGUGUGCUACCCAAUUC